rnacentral:tRNA from 1 species
AGCCAGUGUGGCGUAGUGGUUAGAGUGUUUGACUAGGACCUGGGAGACCAGGGUUCAAAUCCCCACAUGGCCA